AUCUACAGAAAGACGAUGCUGAUAGCUAAUUUCUUAACCACAGCAACAAAAGAGAAGCCAAAAAAACACAAUGGAAUAUGAUCUAUAAUAUGCUGAUAAAAAUUUCACACCUGUUGAAACUAUCUUUCAGAAAUGAGGAUAAAAUAAAGUCAUUUUCAGACAAAAACUGGGAGAAUUUAUUAAUACAUUAUCAGUAAAUGCAGAAGGAAAAUGAUCCCAGCUGGAAUAUCUGAUUUGUAAAGAGUAAUGGUGGGAAAAAGUUUGUGAUUUCCUGAAGGAAAUAUAAUGAUCUGUUCAUCGAAGUAGAAGAUAUUGUUGGCCACGUGGGAUCGAAGACCAAAAACAUGCAGCG
rnacentral:lncRNA from 10 species